rnacentral:rRNA from 1 species
ACUCAAAUGAAUUGACGGGGACCUGCACAAGCGGUGGAGCAUGUGGUUUAAUUCGACACAAAGCGAAAAACCUUACCAGGGUUUGAAAUGCUAGCUGCACACUUCUAGAGAUAGAAGUUUUCUUCGAGAGUGCUAGCACAGGUGCUGCAUGGCUGUCGUCAGCUUGUACCGUGAGGCGCACCCUUAAGUGGGUUAACAAGCGCAACCCCCAUUCUAUGUUAAAUUUUUUCAUAGAAAACUGCCCGCCAAAAGCGGGAGGAAGGCGGGGAUGACGUCAAGUCAGCACGGCCCUUAUGUCCUGGGCUACACACAUCCUACAAUGGGUACUAACAGAGAGCUGCUACUUGGCAACAGGAAGCAAAUCUUCAAACGUAUCCUCAGUUCGGAUUGAGGACUGAAACCUGUCCUCAUGAAGCUGAAAUCGCUAGUAAUCGCGGAUCAGCAGGCCGCGGUGAAUACGUUCUCAGGUCUUGUACACACCGCCCGU